AGGACGAACGCUGGCGGCGUGCUUAACACAUGCAAGUCGAGCGAGGCCCUUCCUUCGGGGAGGUGCCCUAGCGGCGAACGGGUGAGUAACACGUGGGCAACCUGCCCCUAGCACUGGGAUAACUCCGGGAAACCGGGGCUAAUACCGGAUAUGACCUUUGAGGGCAUCCUCUUUGGUGUAAAGGACUCUGGCUAGGGAUGGGCCCGCGGCCUAUCAGCUUGUUGGUGGGGUAAUAGCCUACCAAGGCGACGACGGGUAGCCGGCCUGAGAGGGCGACCGGCCACACUGGGACUGAGACACGGCCCAGACUCCUACGGGAGGCAGCAGUGGGGAAUAUUGCACAAUGGGCGAAAGCCUGAUGCAGCGACGCCGCGUGAGGGAUGACUGCCUUCGGGUUGUAAACCUCUUUCAGCAGGGACGAAGCGAAAGUGACGGUACCUGCAGAAGAAGCACCGGCCAACUACGCGCCAGCAGCCGCGGUAA
rnacentral:rRNA from 1 species